UGGGGAAUAUUGGACAAUGGGCGCAAGCCUGAUCCAGCCAUGCCGCGUGAGAGAUGAAGGCCUUAGGGUUGUAAAGCUCUUUUGUCCGGGACGAUAAUGACGGUACCGGAAGAAUAAGCCCCGGCUAACUUCGUGCCAGCAGCCGCGGUAAUACGAAGGGGGCUAGCGUUGCUCGGAAUCACUGGGCGUAAAGGGCGCGUAGGCGGCUAUUUAAGUCGGGGGUGAAAGCCUGUGGCUCAACCACAGAAUUGCCUUCGAUACUGGAUAGCUUGAGUAUGGUAGAGGUUGGUGGAACUGCGAGUGUAGAGGUGAAAUUCGUAGAUAUUCGCAAGAACACCGGUGGCGAAGGCGGCCAACUGGACCAUUACUGACGCUGAGGCGCGAAAGCGUGGGGAGCAAACAGG
rnacentral:rRNA from 1 species